rnacentral:misc_RNA from 1 species
AAAGGCCACGUACAUAUAACCUUUUACUGCUGACGAUUCUAUGGUAUUCAUAAGCAUCCUAUGUGAUGACGGAAUAUAAAGCGCAUGGCAGAAUCAAGAGAACAUCAGCGGAUGAGAUAAUGAGACAGUUUAACUCUUUCCGAUUAGAAAGUUUCUCCUGAGCCACGCAGUAAUCAGCGUUGCGCGCUCAACAUUGGGCGUCUCACUUACGUGACGCGAGUCCCUCAACGUCGGAAAAUCUCUGUCAAUCAUUGCCGCAAAAGGCAGCUACAUCGAAAAGUUUGUGUUUAUCAGGGUAUUCUAGUCUACAAAUUUGAAAAAAUCGAAAAUCUUUUUUCAUAUUUCCAAAGUUUAGACAUUCAAGAAUAUGCCCUUAAAAGAAUUUUUCAAAAUUUCAAUUUUUAUGAGUUACAGCCAUUUUUGUGAGGCGACAUCUGCUCCGGUCCGACCGGAACAAAUGAACAGU